AGAGUUUGAUCCUGGCUCAGGAUGAACGCUGGCGGCGUGCCUAACACAUGCAAGUUGAGCGAUUUACUUCGGUAAAGAGCGGCGGACGGGUGAGUAACGCGUGGGUAACCUACCCUGUACACACGGAUAACAUACCGAAAGGUAUGCUAAUACGGGAUAAUAUAUUUGAGAGGCAUCUCUUGAAUAUCAAAGGUGAGCCAGUACAGGAUGGACCCGCGUCUGAUUAGCUAGUUGGUAAGGUAACGGCUUACCAAGGCGACGAUCAGUAGCCGACCUGAGAGGGUGAUCGGCCACAUUGGAACUGAGACACGGUCCAAACUCCUACGGGAGGCAGCAGUGGGGAAUAUUGCACAAUGGGCGAAAGCCUGAUGCAGCAACGCCGCGUGAGUGAUGAAGGCCUUCGGGUCGUAAAACUCUGUCCUCAAGGAAGAUAAUGACGGUACUUGAGGAGGAAGCCCCGGCUAACUACGUGCCAGCAGCCGCGGUAAUACGUAGGGGGCUAGCGUUAUCCGGAUUUACUGGGCGUAAAGGGUGCGUAGGCGGUCUUUCAAGUCAGGAGUGAAAGGCUACGGCUCAACCGUAGUAAGCUCUUGAAACUGGGAGACUUGAGUGCAGGAGAGGAGAGUGGAAUUCCUAGUGUAGCGGUGAAAUGCGUAGAUAUUAGGAGGAACACCAGUUGCGAAGGCGGCUCUCUGGACUGUAACUGACGCUGAGGCACGAAAGCGUGGGGAGCAAACAGGAUUAGAUACCCUGGUAGUCCACGCUGUAAACGAUGAGUACUAGGUGUCGGGGGUUACCCCCUCGGUGCCGCAGCUAACGCAUUAAGUACUCCGCCUGGGAAGUACGCUCGCA
rnacentral:rRNA from 1 species